AUGUUUCUGACCUCGAGCUUGCCCAGAUUGCCAACGGCUCAAGGUCUCACGCCUGCCCAGAUCACCAGCAACUGCCAUCCUAUGUCGCCCAGGUGUAGCUCAUGCUUGGCAUGCGAGUUUCCCACGUCACCGGCAACUAGAUCGAACCCGCGCCCGCCCAGACCGUGGGCACCCCGCCGCCACCUACUACCGGAGUCGUCCGCCCCGUGUCAUCGUCGCCAAGAGAUGCGGCCUAAGUUAGGCUACCGCCGAAGCAGAUGCGAGAUCAGCUCCCCGUCUGUCCGCCUCCGCGUCAACUGCAUGAAGGUGAGCACGCCACAACUGCCUCCAGUUCGCUCUCCUUCAUGCACUUUGAAAGAAAUAUGCCCUCGAGGCAAUAAUAAAGUUAUUAUUUAUUUUCUUAUAUCAUGA
rnacentral:rRNA from 1 species